rnacentral:rRNA from 1 species
UACGUAGGGGCCGAGCGUUGUCCGGAUUUAUUGGGCGUAAAGAGCUCGUAGGCGGCCUGUCGCGUCGACCGUGAAAACCCGCAGCUCAACUGCGGGCUUGCGGUCGAUACGGGCAGGCUGGAGUUCGGUAGGGGAGACUGGAAUUCCUGGUGUAGCGGUGAAAUGCGCAGAUAUCAGGAGGAACACCGGUGGCGAAGGCGGGUCUCUGGGCCGAUACUGACGCUGAGGAGCGAAAGCGUGGGGAGCGAACAGG